CUUCAGGUCCCAGUCCGCUCUGCUUCCAUCCGAGGUCACCGAGUCCUUUCACACCAUGAUAGACUCCAAUGCUGAAUGCCUGGACCUCUAAGCAAGUGCUCCUCUCAGUUCCUCUUCUUCUACAGGCUUUCUGCAUGUCGUGGCCUCAACCUCUUCCAUCUUCAAGCCAGCAGUGGGUGGUCGAGGUUUUCUCACAAGGCAGCACUCUGGCACAGACACUUCUCCCUUCCUCUGCCACAUUUAACGACCCUGUGAUCACGUUGAGACUGCCAGGAUAAUCCAGGACCACCUCCUUUUCUUCAGGAUUUGAAGUUGCCAGAAAGGUGGGAGUCUUUCCUUUGUUUAUGGCUGUGACUUUGACACGUUAAUGACAGGGGACUCUGCUAGCCUUGAAAGAGCGGGGAGGCCCGAGGAGACAGCUUGCCUUUCUCCCAUCUGCCACCGGCCUAUCGGAGCCACCAUUUCACCUCGCUCUGCAGAGGUUUUCUUCACAUAUUCCACGAGGUUGAGGCCAUCUGCUUCCCUAUCUGUAAUUAGUUGCACACUUGUGCUUCUGCUGCUAUUGCACUAUGUUAUUAUGUUCGGGAUUUUAAAAGUAUGAUGUGCACCUCCCUUGCUUGAAUCAAGACUCCCUCAGAGAAUGGUGCAUGUUUAACAGUGCCUGAGAGAGGGUGUCUGACGGUGAAGGAAGCUCUGGGGGGCGUUCUGAAUCCUUGUGCAGCAGUCAGGCUGCAGUCUUACUCUUACCUCCUGGGAAGUCGCAGUCACAUCUUGCCAUCAAUUCUGAAAGCCUCGUGCAAGCUGCUUGGUUUUGUAUUUCAGGAGACUAUGGAAGGCCAGCUGGUUGUCCAGAGCAGGAGAUAGGGACCAGAAGGGGAAGAUGGGAUCCUGAGUGUGAGUCAUUCUCACCAUUCUGUCCUCAAAGAGAAAAAAUUGGUGGUGGGCACCAAGCAGAGGCAUAAACAGGUCCUAACAUUAAGGGCAGGGAGAAGAGAGGGGAUGAGGAUGUAGCAGCAUGGGAAAAUAGUUGGUAAGAGAAUAGUUGAUGGAAGACUGAACAGCUUUAAAAGUUAGAUUUAAAAAAAGAGCAGCGACUCCUUUUGCCCUCCUUGUCUGGUGUUACUUGGUCUUGUCAAGAUUUUUUCAUCAUGGUCCUGUCAACAAAUUACCUGGUAGGAAAAAAAAAAUAAUGAAAAAGUUUUCCUUUUAGAGAAUGUGCUCACAGAAAGCAACUCUUCCCCCAAGGACUUGCCCUAGUCCCAUCUCUGCAUCUGGGGCCUGGAGGGACAGAGGGAGUCAGAGCAUGUGGCUUGGUGGUCUUCAAGUGGGACAUUCUCUGGCAGUGUGGGAACCACACAUCAGGUGGCACCUGGUCUAUACAUGUCUUGGUGGGAGAACUGACGUAGGGACUAACCCUAGUUCCCUCCUGGAUCCUGCUGCCCUGCCACUUCUUGGUGGAAAGGCAGGGGAGACCCAAACUGUGUAGUCAGAGCUCAACUGUUUCAAUAGACCUUAGCACAAGAGCUGCUAGGAGUGGUCAUGGCUUCUGUGAGUGAGCUAUUUCAUUUUUGAAUAGAUAACAUAGUCACAUAAGGUAAAAUUGCAAAGGAAUAAAAGAGUACACAGUGAAAAGAUUUCCUCCCACCCUUGACUCCAGAUACCUAAUUCCUUCACUGGAACCAACUAAUGUAAUUACUUUCUUGCACACCCUGCCAGAAGUAUUUAAUGCAUAUAUAAGCAAACAUAUAUGAGUAUCCUCUCCCUUUCUUUUAAAAUUUAAUUGUAUUAUUUUAAAGAGAUUUUAUUCUUUAGAUCACUUUUAGAUUCAUGACAAAAUUGAGCAGAAGACACAGAGACUUCCCAUAUUCUCUCUGGCCAUAUACCCACAGCCUCCCACCUUAUCAACAUCCCUCACCAGAGUGGUACAUGCUGUUACAAUCAAUGAACCUACAUUGAUGCAACAUUACCACCCAAAAUCCAUAGUUUACAUUAAGGACACUCUUACUGUUGUACACUGUAGAGAUCUGGGAAAAUAUAUAAUGACAUGUAACCAGCAUUGCAGUAGUAUCACUGCCCUAAAAGUCCCUGUGCAAUGCCUAUUCAUCCCUCCGUACCCCACCCCUGGCAACCACUGAUCUUUCUACUGUCUCCAUAGUGUCAGCUUUUCCCAAAUGUCACAUAGCUGGACUUCUACAAUGUGUAGUCUUUUCAGAUUGGCUCCUUUCAUUGAGUAAUAUGCAUUUUAAGUUUUCUCUGUGUCUUUUUUUGACUUGACAGCUCAUUUCUUUUCAAUGCUGAAUAAUACUCCAUUGUCUGGAUGUACCAGAGUUUAUCCAUUCACUUACUGAAGGGUAUCAUGGUUGCAUCUAAGUUUUGGCAAUUAUGAAUAAAGCUGCUGUCAAUAUCCAUGUGCAGGUUUUUGUGCAGACAUAGGCUUUCAACGCGUUUGGGUCAAUAUCAAGGAGUGUGA